rnacentral:lncRNA from 1 species
UUGCCUCAAGGGCUGGGAGCAGCUGAUUUUAAUAAACUGCCAAUGGAUAGUGGAAUGAGCUCAAUGUCACAGCUUAAGUCAUUUGCGUUCCCUGGUGGAGCCUCUCGAAAUGAUCAGAUGCAACCUGCACAUGAGUCUCAAGUGAUUCCCGAGAAGUUGCCUCAGCAUUCUAAGCCUUUAGACACAAUGCACAAACAUGCAGAGAUAAUCGCACCAAAGAAACGCAAACUUAUGAGAACAAAGAAGCUGCCUUGGCAUGAAGAAGUCUCUAAUGCAUCCCAAAGGGAUCACACAAUCAGGUCUUUUCCCUUACUCUUUUCGGAUGUUUUGACGUUUACCCUCUCUCUUUUAUUCUCAUUCGAUUAACUUAAAAAAAUAUGUUCUUUCUGCAGUGAGGCAGAACAAGAAUGGGCCAGAGUUGCUAACUUCUUAGCUGAGAAGGUAUAUUACUUCAAAGAGUAUGGUUUAAUGUGAUUGAAAUAUGAUUUUAAAUGUUCUAAUUCCAUUGUAGGCCGAGUAUGAUACUCAUACCUUCGAGUUUGCACCGCCACUGCACCGUUCAAAGAGAAGACUUGUUGUAACAUCACAGCUUAUGCAGCAGCUACUUGAUCCUCCACCCUCACUCCGCUUAUUUUCAAAAGCAUCGUCAAGCUGUGAUGUUUUGUGCUUCUUCAUUGCUAGAGCAACUCUUGCUGAUGCUUGCAGCCUUACCCACAAGAGAGAGAAUGGUUUGCCACCAUCAUCAUAUGAGAUUGACAAGUAAGUAUCAUACUGAAAAACUCAAGCCACAUUAUGUACUAGUUUCCUUAUUGAGAAACUCUUUAACUCGGAAUAUCUUAAUAGGAUACCAAAAAAGAUUGAGAGUUUAACAGAGAAAGCAAAUAAACUCAAGGAAAGCUUUGAAAGGUAUGAACACUACUUUUAGCAGCUGCUUGUUUUUCUCAUAACACUCUAUAAAAACCUUUUACUUAUUUUUUUUGGUGCAGACUGGAGAAGACACAGUCAAUGGCAGAAUUAAAAUUCGACAUAGAGGACUUGGAAAGAUUCUCUGUUAUCAACCGUUUUGCAAGGUUUCACAGCAAGGGACCAGUCUCCGGACAAGCCACUCUUCUAAAACCGAUGCCACAGAGAUACGUUGCGGUUGGACCGAUGCCUCGGAGCAUACCAGAGGGAGUACAAUGCAUUUCAUUAUGAAUCUGCCUUUUGGAAACUAGUCUUUGCUAUAUAUAGUAUCUUAUAUGUUUUGGUACUAUUCUUUGCUAUUCUCCUGGGAAUACAAGAAGGUAUUGAAAAAACAACCAUCCUCGGAUAACACAACAGCUAAGCUAUACUCCUGCUGCUGUUUCUUUUCCAGUGGAAGUAAAUAUUUGUUGUAUUGUGUGUUUUGGGUUAAAGAGAUCAAGAAAACCCUGGGAUAGUAUCAAAAGUAUCAGGUCUCUGCAGUAAGAAUAGGAUGAGAUCCUGUUUGGUUUUACAGAUAUGUCUGUUGUUGUUGUUAUUUUGUUUUUGCUUAGUUUAAAGCUAUUAACUUAGUUUGGAUGUUAGAAUCUUAUCAGUCCACAAUACAUGGAUAAUGGCAUUGCCCUUUAUAUAUUUUUAUUUUUUACAACUCUUUAAGGAUAGGAAACUGUUUUGUGCUCCUUAGUCGAAUUACGGACCAAGAUAUGAAUCUGGAGGCAUUUAUUACUUAGAAUCUCACUUUAUGUUAAAUGUUAUUAUAUAUCUUUACAAAAAGGUGAAGUUAUGACUUGUGAUAAUAUGAGGAGAGAAUAUAAUAUAUCUGUGGAGAUUUUGUCGGAUUCUUCCAAACUUUUGGGAGCUUGUUGCUUGAAAGUUAAAGUGACACGUGAGCUUAGAUCCUUAUUAGUAGUAGUGACUAAAAAAAAUAUCUUGAAUGUCAGUAUAAGAUGUUGACUUGAGUUUGUUGGAAAGUGACUGUAUGGCUACAAAAGUUACAGAUUCUUGUGACCGACCAAUGAUCAGUAGGUCAGAAUAUGACAUAUAAAUAUUGACGUCGGCAAAGCAAUAUAUAAUCUGCAUAUGAGAAUGUGGAAUCCUUUUGGUCCACUGUUUUGAUCAAGAGUUCGUUAAUACUUUUACACCAAGAAGUCUGGGUUUCAAUUCUCGGAGAAUACGGAAUUAUGCGAAUUAAAAGAAAAAAAACUUACAAGAGAUUUGCAGCAUAGCGCAAAGAGUACCGUCAAACAUGGAUUCCAUAAGUCGGUUCAGGUGAUACAGUCAGGCGUGAAUCCUCAUAUGACAGGUAGAAUUGUCGGCUGUAGAAUCGUUUGUAAUAUUUCUUUGUAAUAACGUAAUUAUCGGUUUUUAAAAAAAUCUCCAUAUGAGAAUAGUUUAAGGACUUGUGUUAUUUGUUUUCACUGUAACAAGACUUCUCCAGGCUUCCAGCUAUUGUGUUCUAGGAAGGCCUAGGUUUUACACUCUAAAGCCCAUGGGCCGCCGUAUGUUGCGCUUUUAAUUCUAUUGGGUCCGAAAGUAGUGAAGUGAUUUUUUCGGUAAAAAAAUCAGUAAAUCCAUUUCUACAGCAGUAAAAUUACACAGAUUAGAUGAUAUAUAAUAUUUUUAGCAAUUUUUAAAUAGAUCACAAACUUACAUAGCUUCGACAUAAAAAAACGGUAUGGUGACUCUCUCUUCUCUCUUACUGAAAGAAUAUUCUCUCGAAACUUUAGACCAUAUUGUCAAAAAAAAAAAUAAGAAGGUUUAAUGGAAGUUGAGAAGAUUAGAGAGUCCGAUGGUUUUGUCUUCCGAUUUCGGUGUUCCCGACCGGCUUUGCUUCCAGCGUUGCAUCAGUUCCUCUCAUGAUCGUCCGGUUUUUUUUUUCUGGUAGCUACAUUAGCACCGACUUCGCCGGCUUUAAACUCUAGGAGGCAAUGGCUCCUAUAACAUUGUUAUUCGCCGGCUUAUUUUGGAUUUAUCCUGGUUUCGUUUGAUCUACGCCUCCAUUCUUUUCUACUCCAACUGACUCUUGAUCUGAGCCUCCAUAAAUUUUCCUUUCCUUUCAAAGACCGUCGCUUCUUCAUGCUUAUUAAAAUCUUCAAAGAUGUCUGUUCGAGCAUGCUGGAAUACAGAGUUCUUCAGAUCGAUUGCAGACAAUUGUCGUUUUUUGUGCGUAGAUCCGCCAGAAUAGAUUUCUCGAUUAAAUCUCUUGUGAAGGCUGUUUUGUUUGAGCGGAUUCUCCACUGGUUCUUUUGCUCCGAUGGACGGAGCUCUGCCGCGUCUCUUGACUGGUUCCUUCCGGAGAAAGAUGGUGAACUCUGGCUUUGACAUGUUUUCAUUGAUCACAUGACGAUCGUCUACGUGGUGAGCGGUGUCCUUUCUUCAACGACGGUAAUAGGCUUAUGAUUUAGUUUGACCCAUUUAUAUUUUGGUCUUUUUUGUGAAAUUUAUCUCAAGUAUGUUUUCAUGGACUUUGUACCAUUUAAUAAUACGGAUGACAAAAAAAAUAACUUCCACAUGUGUUGUUAUAUAAAUAAAAAACCAUCAAAAAUAAUAUUGGUGUAUUUUAGGGUCCAAAAUAAUAACAAAAUUUUGAAAGUAAUUAGAAUUAAUUAUAUUUUAAAUAUUAAAUGAAGAGUAUAAUAUCUUUUCAUAGAAGUAACUACCGAAACUAUCCCUGCCUACUUACCGAGUGGUAACUGCCGAUCAAUAAAGAUCGUGGGGGUAUAUCGGUAGUUUAACAGGGUAAAAAUUACAGGAGAAGCUGUCUUCUUACUUUCCCCGCCAAUUGCAUCACAAUUCUCCCCUAAUUUCUCAAUCGAGGGCUCAACUCUCUCUCCAUGACUCACAAACUUCCUCCAAAAUCUUCCAAAUUCUUCGAAAUCUGAUUUCUGGAAACGCUAAUUUUUGAAUCCGCGACUUCGAUGAGCAAUCCAAGCAGUUCCGGAUGGGAUUCAAGUUCAAAUUUGACUCAGUUCGGGAUCGGCUUGGCCAAUACAGUGCAGUCGGAUGUUGCUUCUCACUUGCCGCUCCCCUCGCUACCCAUAUUCUGCGGCUCGACUCAGCCUGGAGAGUUCAAGCUGUUCGAUGAGGCUGGCGAAGGUAUUAGCGACAACAGGUCGUUGAAUCGCAGCGAGAUUCUCUCGCAGUCUAGGAGAAUCGCGAACAUCCUCAACCGAAGAUAUCUAAAGGUAAUAUGUAUAUGCAGUCCUUGGGGAUGUUUGAUCAGCUACAGUCUCAGACAGGCAUCCAUCGCUCCAGUACAGCUGCAAGUCACUUAGCCGGUAUGUCUUCUUCACUUGUGCCUCGUCAGCUCGGGCAAGCGGGGAUGUUCCCGCAGUUCAUACAACAGAAUGAUCUGUCCACCGUGUCUGUAUCCCAAAUGCAGACGACUAAUCCAUUUGUAGCGUCUUUACCUGACAAUGCAACACUUCCAGGCCUUGGAGGCCACACCACUAGUCAGACUAGAUCUCCCCAACGAGGUACCAAUCAGCAGUUUAAUGUGUGGAUGGACUUACCAAGUCGCCAGCAUCUUUUGGAUCAAGAACCAGUCAAAGUUCCCGCUGAGAUAUUGAGAAGUGAUGUCACAACGUGGCAAAAGUCCCAACAGAUGUCGUCCACAGGAUAUAAUCUGCAACAGAGGAUUGGUUUGCCUCAAGGGCUGGGAGCAGCUGAUUUUAAUAAACUGCCAAUGGAUAGUGGAAUGAGCUCAAUGUCACAGCUUAAGUCAUUUGCGUUCCCUGGUGGAGCCUCUCGAAAUGAUCAGAUGCAACCUGCACAUGAGUCUCAAGUGAUUCCCGAGAAGUUGCCUCAGCAUUCUAAGCCUUUAGACACAAUGCACAAACAUGCAGAGAUAAUCGCACCAAAGAAACGCAAACUUAUGAGAACAAAG